rnacentral:rRNA from 1 species
GAUGAACGCUGGCGGCGCGCCUAACACAUGCAAGUCGAACGGUUAAAGCACCUUUUAGGUGUGUAUAAAGUGGCGAACGGCUGAGUAACACGUGGGCAACCUGCCCUCCUCUUGGGGAUAGCCUCGGGAAACCGAGGAUAAUACCCGAUACUUCAAUGUGGCCGCAUGACGACAUUGAGAAAGCUUUUGCGGAGAAGGGUGGGCCCGCGGCCUGUUAGCUUGUUGGUGGGGUAGAGGCCUACCAAGGCAAUGAUGGGUAGCUGGGUUGAGAGACCGACCAGCCAGAUUGGGACUGAGACACGGCCCAGACUCCUACGGGAGGCAGCAGUGGGGAAUCUUGCACAAUGGGCGAAAGCCUGAUGCAGCGACGCCGCGUGCGGGACGAAGGCCUUCGGGUUGUAAACCGCUUUCAGCAGGGACGAGGCGAUAAGUGACGGUACCUGCAGAAGAAGCCCCGGCUAACUACGUG